rnacentral:antisense_RNA from 1 species
UACAAUGGUGGCUCAGGUAGUGGGGCUGAAAGGCACACCGGCGGUGUACCGGCAGUUCUAACCCUAUCUGGGCUACCACCACG